AAUGAACGUUGGCGGCGUGGAUUAGGCAUGCAAGUCGAGCGAGAACCCGCAGGGGGACAGCGGCAAACGGGGUAGUAAUGUGUCGGAACGUGCCCUCUGGACGGGGAUAGCGGCGGGAAACUGCCGGUAAUACCCGAUGAACUCGAGAGAGCAAAGGUGUGAUUCCGCCGGAGGAGCGGCCGACAUGGUAUUAGCUAGUUGGCGGGGUAACGGCCCACCAAGGCUGUGAUGCCUAGGGGAUGUGAGAGCAUGAUCCCCACCAUUGGGACUGAGACACUGCCCAGACACCUACGGGUGGCUGCAGUCGAGAAUCUUCGUCAAUAGGCGAAAGCCUGAACGAGCGACGCCGCGUGCGGGAUGAAGGCCCUUGGGUUGUAAACCGCUGUCGAGGGGGAUGAAGGCAUUCAGGUACUCCUGGAUGUUUGACAGAGCCCUGGAGGAAGCACGGGCUAAGUUCGUGCCAGCCGCCGCAGUAAAAC
rnacentral:rRNA from 1 species